rnacentral:lncRNA from 1 species
UAAAAUUAAGCUACUUUUGCAAACUUUGUAAUCCUUGCCUCUCUUGUGUAUUUUCUUUUUGUAAUAGCUGAGAGUUGAUUCCAAGGGACAGAUCCUGUAGCAAAUAGGCUGAGGUAUCCCUGCACAGAUGUCAGCGAUCCGAGUGCUGCGCUUGGUGCUAUUUAAAGCAAAGUCUCUACAAGGGAUGAGAAUAAGCCCAUCUUCCUAGUUCCAGGGCUUUAGUUUGAUCACUAGACAGUGUCCAGCUGAUUUUGCUACUGAAAUUUUCAUCAUUGGCAAUCUGGAUCCCUCCUAUUUUUGAAAUGAAGCAUACUGGACUAUUUGCUCC